UCGAGCGAAGCUUUUUGGUAGUUUACUACUAGAAAUGACUGAGCGGCGAACGGGUGAGUAACGCGUGAGCAAUCUACCUUAGUUACUGGGAUAGCCCGAGGAAACUCGGAUUAAUACCAGAUAUUCUUAUUUUUUCACAUGAAGUUUUAAGGAAAGGUCAGCCGAACUAAGAUGAGCUCGCGUUCUAUCAGCUAGUUGGUGGGGUAAAAGCCUACCAAGGCUACGACGGAUAGCUGGUCUGAGAGGACGAUCAGCCACACUGGGACUGAGACACGGCCCAGACUCCUACGGGAGGCUGCAGCAGGGAAUAUUGUGCAAUGAGCGAAAGCUUGACACAGCGACACCGCGUGUGGGAUGACGGUUCUAGGAUUGUAAACCACUUUCAGGAGGGAAGAAAAUGACGGUACCUCCACAAGAAGACCCGGCCAACUAUGUGCCAGCAGCCGCGGUAAUACAUAGGGGUCAAGCGUUGUCCGGAUUUAUUGGGCGUAAAGAGCUCGUAGGCGGUUCAACAAGUCGGUCGUAAAAGUUUAGGGCUCAACCCUAAAAUGUCGAUCGAUACUGUUGUGACUAGGAUACGGUAGAGGUGAAUGGAAUUCCGAGUGUAGCGGUGAAAUGCGUAGAUAUUCGGAGGAACACCAAUUGCGAAGGCAGUUCACUGGACCGUGAUCGACGCUGAGGAGCGAAAGCUAGGGGAGCAAACAGGAUUAGAUACCCUGGUAGUCCUAGCUGUAAACGAUGGAUACUAGAUGUAGGAACUGGAUUGACGGUUUCUGUAUCGUAGCUAACGCGUUAAGUAUCCCGCCUGGGGAGUACGGUCGCAAGACUAAAACUCAAAGGAAUUGACGGGACCCCGCACAAGCGGCGGAGCAUGCGGCUUAAUUCGAUGAUACCCGUAGAACCUUACCUGGACUUGACAUACAG
rnacentral:rRNA from 1 species